rnacentral:rRNA from 1 species
AGACCCCGUGAACCUUUACUAUAGCUUGACACUGAACAUUGAGCCUUGAUGUGUAGGAUAGGUGGGAGGCUUUGAAGUGUGGACGCCAGUCUGCGUGGAGCCGACCUUGAAAUACCACCCUUUAAUGUUUGAUGUUCUAACGUGGACCCGUGAUCCGGGUUGCGGACAGUGUCUGGUGGGUAGUUUGACUGGGGCGGUCUCCUCCUAAAGAGUAACGGAGGAGCACGAAGGUUGGCUAAUCCUGGUCGGACAUCAGGAGGUUAGUGCAAUGGCAUAAGCCAGCUUGACUGCGAGCGUGACGGCGCGAGCAGGUGCGAAAGCAGGUCAUAGUGAUCCGGUGGUUCUGAAUGGAAGGGCCAUCGCUCAACGGAUAAAAGGUACUCCGGGGAUAACAGGCUGAUACCGCCCAAGAGUUCAUAUCGACGGCGGUGUUUGGCACCUCGAUGUCGGCUCAUCACAUCCUGGGGCUGAAGUAGGUCCCAAGGGUAUGGCUGUUCGCCAUUUAAAGUGGUACGCGAGCUGGGUUUAGAACGUCGUGAGACAGUUCGGUCCCUAUCUGCCGUGGGCGCUGGAGAACUGAGGGGGGCUGCUCCUAGUACGAGAGGACCGGAGUGGACGCAUCACUGGUGUUCGGGUUGUCAUGCCAAUGGCACUGCCCGGUAGCUAAAUGCGGAAGAGAUAAGUGCUGAAAGCAUCUAAGCACGAAACUUGCCCCGAGAUGAGUUCUCCCUGAGACUUAGAGUCUCCUGAAGGAACGUUGAAGACGACGACGUUGAUAGGCCGGGUGUGUAAGCGCAGCGAUGCGUUGAGCUAACCGGUACUAAUGAACCGUGAGGCUUAACCUUACAACGCCGAAG